UUGGACUAAGGUUUUUUGGCAC
rnacentral:miRNA from 1 species